rnacentral:lncRNA from 1 species
UCCACAGUUUUAAUGUCAUCCAUCUACAAACAAAGAUAUUUGCAGGUGUUGGCUUAAUUCGAUUAUAGGUGGGCCAAAUCAACCACAUAUUGAUAAGUAACCAAUUUGUGAGGCCGAGAGAAAACUUAAUUUGGUGAGCCUCCUACAGUCGUAAGCCUCCUACUCAAAACACAAAAUAGUCGCAUGCUAGAUAGACAGACCAUGAUCAGCUCCGAUAGACUCAAGGAUUGGAUCUCUGUUCCUCAAAUCCCGUUCAGCGUCUUCUGUUUCGAGCAGGGUUACUUCCUCCACUGCUAACACUAGCUAUGGUGGACUCCGCGAUACUCAUCCUGUUGAUGCUUUAAUCGGACGUGUCAUCAGCAAUGACGCUGCUGUAUGUAGUAGUAACUCAAAAUACUUGAAAGUGUAUGUUGUUUUUUUAUAUUAUAUUUUGUUGCAGAUACAACAUUUUGAAAUAUUAUCCAUUUAUACUAUUUCUUCUGUGAAUGCAUGGAAUGGAACUGUGUUGUUUAAUUUAAUUGAGGUGUUUUUUUCUGUUGUUAA